UUUUGGUGGUGUUUUUAGCUGCAUUGGAGAGGGGCAGAGCCAUGAGUGCGCACAUGUGGAAACCCUGAAGUUCUGAAGAUCUAGGGUCCAAGCUUGCAUUUGUCACUGUUGGCCAGUCCUUGGUCUAUGAACCUCACUACCACACAAGCUAACUAUACUCAAGAGCCUUUGGAGAGGCACUUUGUCAACAGCAUUUAGAAUGUCCAAGUAUAAAUGUCUACCAUGUCGCUUCUAUCCAUAUGCUUGUUGACAUCAUCAUCAUCAUCAUUAUCAACAUUUAUAUUCCACUCUUCCAUCUCAAAGAUCUAGAAGACAUUAAGCUAACUGGCCUAUAGGAGAAGAGCAAAGCCAAGAUAAAUUUUCAAAUACCUAAAAGACUGCUAAAAAGAAGAUGGAUAAUUGUUUACCAGAGAUACUGAAGAACAUCAAGAAGAAAUUGUUCACAUUGCAGCAGAGCAGCUAUG